GAGCAAAGCAGCUCCAGGGGCCUGUUCUCCUUCACUCCUCUCUGGCUCCCUCCUGAUCUGCAGCCUGCAGCCAGCUUAAAGAAGAGCAGCAGGAGGUUUGCUGUGAGGCUGCCAGAACACACCAGUGGGCAUCACCAAACCCCUGCUGGGACAGGGGGAAACUCCUGACAGGCAAAAGGAAAAGGAAAGGAAUCUCCCCAUGAUUUCUAGAUCAAAACUCCACUUUGCAAAAGGCUUUCACUGUUGUCAGGGAUGCUCAGAAGAAAGCCCAGGCCAGCCAGGAGCAGUGGGACCCCCUGGCAGAGCCCGGGAUCCUGUGGGCAGCAGGAAGAUGCCAACCCCUGCAUCCUCCACAGCUGCACCCACUCAGCAGGCUCCUUUCCCUGCCCCAGCUGCAGGAACUGGAAAGCAAAGAUGCCCAACGAGGCGUUAGGAGCCACAUCCUGCCCAAGGCAGCACCAUCCAGGCCUGGCCCUCUGUGCCCCUGAGCACACACAGCUGCUUGGCACGAGGAGCCCUUCCCAGAGCCCUCAGCUGGACACUCCAGCAGCCCCAGCUUGGAUGGGAGCAGGAGAGUCACGUCCUCUGCCAGCCCCUGCAGACUGAGACCAGGCCCUUGGAGGACAGCUGGGCACGUCCCCAGGGAGAGGCAGCAGCACAGCACGGAGCUUUCAUCCAUCACCCUCUGCUUGCUCAGCGUCUGAGGACAUUUCUCCAGCCCCUGGGAAUGUCCCGUGCACCCCACCACCCUCAGGCCCUCGUGGCCUCUGUGCCCUGGCUCACUCACCAACCCUGCUCACCCUGGCAAGCGCAGUACCAGCCUGGAGUACAGGUUCAGCACCAGCUCACCCCCGGGGAGGAUCUUCCAAGACACUCGGGCGUUCUCGAGGUUCAGCGCCUUCAGCCUGGGGGUGACACCACAGGAAACCCACCCUGAAAAGGCAGGACCAGA